UCUGCCCUUUGUACACACCGCCCGUCGCUACUACCGAUUGAAUGGCUUAGUGAGACCCUCGGAUUGGCGUUAAGAAGCCGGCAACGGCAUCUUUUGGCCGAGAAGUUGGUCAAACUUGGUCAUUUAGAGGAAGUAAAAGUCGUAACAAGGUUUCCGUAGUAGUGACCUGCGGCAGGAUCAUUA
rnacentral:rRNA from 1 species